rnacentral:rRNA from 1 species
GUAAAGCGCACGCAGGCGGUCUGUUAAGCUAGAUGUGAAAGCCCCGCGCUCAACGUGGGAGGGUCAUUUAGAACUGGCAGGCUAGAGUCUUGGAGAGGGGAGUGGAAUUCCAGGUGUAGCGGUGAAAUGCGUAGAGAUCUGGAGGAACAUCAAUGGCGAAGGCAACUCCCUGGCCAAAGACUGACGCUCAUGUGCGAAAGUGUGGGUAGCGAACAGGAUUAGAUACCCUGGUAGUCCACACCGUAAACGCUGUCUACUAGCUGUUUGUGGAUUUAAUCCGUGAGUAGCGAAGCUAACGCGAUAAGUAGACCGCCUGGGGAGUACGGCCGCAAGGUUAAAACUCAAAUGAAUUGACGGGGGCCCGCACAAGCGGUGGAGCAUGUUCUUUAAUUCGAUGCAACGCGAAGAACCUUACCCACCUUUGACAUGUAUGGAAUCCUUUAGAGAUGAAGGAGUGCUCGAAAGAGAGCCAUAACACAGGUGCUGCAUGGCU